GGUCCCGUAGCUCAGCAGGAUAGAGCAUCAGAUUCCUAAUCUGAGGGUCACGCGUUCGAAUCGCGUCGGGAUCACCA
rnacentral:tRNA from 63 species